UGCCCAGCAACUCCUAUCCCUACCUCAUCGUGGUACUGGCCGGGAUACGAGUAACCUUGGGGAAGAUCGGGUAACCAACCCCGGUGGGAACUUUGGUCGUAUGCUGACAGGGAAAAGG
rfam:Aedes aegypti strain Liverpool supercont1.210 genomic scaffold, whole genome shotgun sequence.